UUAUUUUGGAGCGCACGAUGGCCCUGGCCCUGCUUCUUCUCACACUCCUUAGUUACAGCUCAGGUGUCAGUUCCAGGUCACCUUGGACUCAGCCUGCCUCAGAGUCUGUGGCACCAGGGCAAACGGCAAAAAUGUCCUGCACGGUCAACAAUGAUGGCCGCACCAUUUACUGGUAUCAGCAGAAAGCUGGGCAGGCCCCUCGCUUUGUCCAUUGUACGGGCUGCAGCAGCAGAGGAGAAGGGUUCCCAAAUCGAUUCACAGCAUCCACCUCUGGGAACAUCGGCCAUUUAACCAUCACCAGUGUCCAGGCUGGAGAUGAAGCAGAUUAUUACUGUUGCAUGUAUUCUAGCACUGACAGCAUGCCUCACAGUGGUAAAAUCUAA